GCACUUCCUGCGAGGCCCCUGCAGCAGCAGCGGCGUGGUCAGAGCGAGCUUCGGAGAAGCAGUGGUGGGUUCCAUGUGAUGGUGGAGUAGGAGGCAGGUCUCCGCGGUUUCUUCAUGUGGCUGCAGAUGGCAGGAUUUCCCAAAGGUUUCUGGCUGAAACAUAUUCCGUGGUGUAUCUGUACAGCAGUUUCCUCAUCCCUGCAGCUGUGUUUGAACAGGUCAUUUACCAUGCUGUCCUCCAGGUUCAACAGUAUGGCUCCAAAGGAUGAAAUUUCAUUCUGAUUUUCUGGCUGAAGACUAUUCUCUUUGUGUAUGUCCACCACAGUUACUUUAUCCCUUCAUCUGUGGAUGGGCAGUCUCGCUGUAUUGCCCAGGCUGGAGUGCAGUGGCAUGAUCUCAGCUCACUGCAAGCUCUGCUUCCUGGGUUCACGCCAUUCUCCUGCCUCAGCCUCCUGAGUAGCUGGGAUUACAGGCACCC
rnacentral:lncRNA from 10 species